UGAGUUCCAUUUUAUAUUCUGUUUAUGAUGGGUUUGUUGGAAACUUUUUUGUAACAAUAUACAUUUUUGAAAAUUGAAAUGGAAGUUCUCCAAAAUAAGGAUGAGUAUGGAAAUCUUUACAUUCUUUUAAUCAAAAUUUUAGUGAUGCUUGUUAUGGCAACUGGGUGGGAAAGGCACUUGUAUAGGAAGAGCAUGGUAAUUGUUAAGCAUCAUAAUUGUUUCUAGCACAUGAAUCUGCAUUUUUCAAUGACUUGCUGGAAAGGGUUUACAGUUUAGAUGAAGUAUGAACAUAUUAAGCUCUCUG
rnacentral:misc_RNA from 1 species